rnacentral:rRNA from 1 species
GAUGAACGCUGGCGGCGUGCUUAACACAUGCAAGUCGAGCGAAGCAGUUAAGUUGAUUUCUUCGGAUUGAUUCUUAAUUGACUGAGCGGCGGACGGGUGAGUAACGCGUGGGUGACCUGCCCCAUACCGGGGGAUAACAGCUGGAAACGGCUGCUAAUACCGCAUAAGCGCACAGAGCUGCAUGGCUCGGUGUGAAAAACUCCGGUGGUAUGGGAUGGGCCCGCGUCUGAUUAGGCAGUUGGCGGGGUAACGGCCCACCAAACCGACGAUCAGUAGCCGGCCUGAGAGGGCGACCGGCCACAUUGGGACUGAGACACGGCCCAAACUCCUACGGGAGGCAGCAGUGGGGAAUAUUGCACAAUGGGGGAAACCCUGAUGCAGCGACGCCGCGUGAGCGAAGAAGUAUUUCGGUAUGUAAAGCUCUAUCAGCAGGGAAGAUAAUGACGGUACCUGACUAAGAAGCCCCGGCUAACUACGUGCCAGCCGCCGCCGUAA